GACGAACGCUGGCGGCGUGCUUAACACAUGCAAGUCGAACGGAAAGGCCCUGCUUUUGUGGGGUGCUCGAGUGGCGAACGGGUGAGUAACACGUGAGUAACCUGCCCUUGACUUUGGGAUAACUUCAGGAAACUGGGGCUUAUACCGGAUAUGAACUCCUGCUGCAUGGUGUGUGUUGGAAAGUUUCGGCGGUUGGGUCUGGCCUCGCGGCUUAUCCGCUUGUUGGUGGGGUAGUGGCUUACCAAGGCUUUGGCGGGUACCCGGCCUGAGAAGGUUACCGGCAACAUUGGGACUGAGCUACGGCCCAGACUCUAACGUGAGGAAGUAGUGGAGAAGACUGCACACUGGGCGGAAGCCUGAUGCAGCAACGCCGCGCGCGGGAUGACGGCCUUCGGGUUGCAAACCGCUUUCGCCUGUGACGAAGAGUGAGUGACGGUAAUGGGUAAAGAAGCACCGGCUAACUACGUG
rnacentral:rRNA from 1 species